rnacentral:rRNA from 1 species
UACAGAGGGUGCGAGCGUUAAUCGGAAUUACUGGGCGUAAAGCGCACGUAGGCGGCUUGCAAGUCAGAUGUGAAAUCCCCCGGGCUUAACCUGGGAACUGCAUUUGAGACUGCAUUGCUAGAGUAUGGGAGAGGGGGAAGUGGAAUUUCAGGGUGUAGCGGUGAAAAAUGCGUAGAUAUCUGAAGGAACAUCAGUGGCGAAAAGCGACUCCUGGACCAAUACUGACGCUCAUGUGCGAAAAGCGUGGGGGG